UACCAGCUCUCCGAGUUGUAGGGACGAUUAUUGGGCUUAAAGCGUCCGUAGCUGGCUUAGCAAGUCUCCUGUUAAAUUCAGCGACCUAAUCGUUGAGCCGCGGGAGAUACUACUAGGCUAGGAGGCGGGAGAGGUCGACGGUACUUUCGGGGUAGGGGUGAAAUCCUAUAAUCCCGGGAGGACCACCAGUGGCGAAGGCUGUCGACUAGAACGCGCUCGACGGUGAGGGACGAAAGCUGGGGUAGCGAACCGGAUUAGAUACCCGGGUAGUCCCAGCUGUAAACUAUGCGGGCUAGGUGUUGGGGUGGCUACGGGCCACUUCAGUGCCGCAGGAAGCCAUUAAGCCCGCCGCCUGGGGAGUACGGCCGCAAGGCUGAAACUUAAAGGAAGUUGGCGGGGGAGCACCACAAGGCGUGAAGCUCGCGGUUC
rnacentral:rRNA from 1 species